rnacentral:rRNA from 1 species
UACGUAGGGUCCGAGCGUUGUCCGGAAUUACUGGGCGUAAAGAGCUCGUAGGUGGUUUGUCGCGUUGUUCGUGAAAACUCACAGCUCAACUGUGGGCGUGCGGGCGAUACGGGCAGACUAGAGUACUGCAGGGGAGACUGGAAUUCCUGGUGUAGCGGUGAAAUGCGCAGAUAUCUGGAGGAACACCGGUGGCGAAGGCGGCAUCCUGAGCCGGCAUUGACGCUGAGGAGCGAAAGCCAGGGGAGCAAACGGG